rnacentral:tRNA from 1 species
AAAAAGAUAAGCUAACUUAAGCUAAUGGGUUCAUACCCCAUUUAUAGAGGUUAUAACCCUCUUCUUUUUA